CGGUGGAGCAUGUGGUUUAAUUCGAAGCAACGCGAAGAACCUUACCAGGUCUUGACAUCCCGAUGCUAUUUCUAGAGAUAGAAGUUACUUCGGUACAUCGGUGACAGGUGGUGCAUGGUUGUCGUCAGCUCGUGUCGUGAGAUGUUGGGUUAAGUCCCGCAACGAGCGCAACCCCUACGUUUAGUUGCUAACGCGUGAAGGCGAGCACUCUAGACGAACUGCCGUUGACAAAACGGAGGAAGGUGGGGAUGACGUCAAAUCAUCAUGCCCCUUAUGUUCUGGGCUACACACGUGCUACAAUGGCCGGUACAGACGGACGCAAAGCCGCGAGGUGGAGCAAAUCCUAAAAAGCCGGUCUCAGUUCGGAUUGCAGGCUGCAAUUCGCCUGCAUGAAGUCGGAAUCGCUAGUAAUCGCAGGUCAGCAUACUGCGGUGAAUACGUUCCCGGGCCUU
rnacentral:rRNA from 1 species